UUACGUCCUUCUCUCGGGAAGGAGGGAGUGAUUCCGGGAAUUUCAUAACUUGUGUUGAUGCAAGCUGUUAAUUCCGCAACAGUCUGGGCCCCCCCUUCUUUAGUCUUUACCUUGGAUUCAUGAUACGUCACCUCCACACUUUCUUUCGUAAUUACCCUUCCUUUUACACUCUGCCACUUUCCCCACUCUCUCUUUCCAUGCUUAAUUAGUCACUGAAGUUGAGGAUUGUCAACAAACCGUCGUCAGUAUGCUGCGGACUUAACAUGCAAGUGAUAAAAAAUUGAAC
rnacentral:lncRNA from 1 species